rnacentral:lncRNA from 1 species
GAUUUAAAAAAUAAGUGUAUAAAUUAAUAAUUAUAAAACCAUGUUGAUAAGUUUAUAAUGUUUAAACAUGUAAUUUGUGAUAAUAGCACAAAGAAGAAGAGAGAGUAGAGCUAUAUUAAAGAUUUUAUAUGUGAUUGAAAUUAAGUUGGUAUUAAUUCAAACUUUAUUGUCUUAAGAUGUUAUUGUCAUCUCUAUGGAAUCCACUAGGACAAUAACUUCAAAAAAAUGCAUGCAUAUAUGCUGGGGGGAAGAGGAGAGAGAGAGAAAGAGCAGGGAAAUUAAAAUAUUAUACUACAAAAUAUCUAACACAAAAGAAGGCAGUAAUAAAUAGGGGAACAAAAAACUCUAAUACAUAUGGAAAACAAGUGGUGAAAUGGCAGAUAUAAAGCCUACCUGAUCAGUAAUUACAUUAAAUGUAAAUGAACUAACCACUCCCUUAAAAGGCAGAGAUUGGCAGAAUAGGUAAAUAAAUAUGAUCCAACUCUAUACUGUCUAUGAGAGAUACACUUUAGAUUCAAAGACACAAAGAGGUGAAAAGUAAAAGGAUAGAAAAAAUUAAACCAUGCAAACAGUACCCAAAAGAAAGACGGAGUUGCUAUACUAAUAGAAGACAAAACAAGUUUUAUGGCUUUUUACUAGAUACAAAGAAUGACAUGUUAUCAGGUUAAGAGGGUAAAUCAUCAGAAAGACAUAACAACUGUAAACAUACACCUGCCUACCAACAGAGUCCCAAAAUACAUGAAGCAAAAAUGGACAGAACUGAAGUGAGAUACAGAGAGUUCAAGAGUGAGACUUCUAAUCCACUUUCAAUAAUGGAUACACCAACUAGAUAGAAGAUCAACAAGAAAAUAGAAGACCUGAACGUCGUAGAAACCAAUGAGACCUAAAGACAUGAAUGAACACUUUCAAUAAUGGAUACACCAACUAGAUAGAAGAUCAACAAGAAAAUAGAAGACCUGAACGUCGUAAAAACCAAUGAGACCUAAAGACAUGAAUGAACACUUUCUCCAACAACAACAGAAUACACGUUUUUUCUCAAGUAUAUUCUCCAAGCUACAUCAUAUGUUAGGUCAUAAAACAAACCUUAGCAGGUUUAAAAUGACUGAAAUUAUACAAAGUAUGUUCUCUGACCACAGUGGCAUAAAAUUAGAAAUCAAUGAAUGAAGGAAAUUUGAAAAAUUUACAAGUAUUUGGAUAUUAAAUAACAUACUUCUUGAUAAUCAAUAGGCAAAUAUAAAGAAUCACAAAGACAUUUAGAAAAUACUUUGAAACAAAUUAAAUCAAAUGUACAACAUGCCAAAAAUGAUGAGAUGCAGCUUAAGCAAGAGUUAGGGGUGAGGGGAAGGGUGACUAUAAACUAGUAGAUGAGGAAGUUUUUUCUGGUGUCAGAACUAUUUUAUAUCCUGAUUGUGGUGGCAGUUACACAAAUCUAUACAUGUGUUAUAAUUCAUAGAACAGUACACAUUUUCACACAAAGGCUUGUUCUGUUAUGCUAAUUUAAAAAUAAAACUGUAGAAGCUAUAUCAGAAUUUGUACAGAUGAUUAUUAUGUAUCUUAAAUGAUAGAUAUCUGCAAGACCUUCAUUAAAGAAGAACUCCUUAAAGCUCCUGGUACCAGCCGUAUGCUUUCUUCAGUUAUGCAAAUAAAAUAUUUGAUUUAAUUACAGGAAAAAAAGUAGGAACAAGACAGGGAUGUCUACCACUACUACUACUGCAACAACUACUACUUCUAAACAACAUUGCACUGGAGGUCCAAAAAUAAUUGAAGACACAAGGAUUGGAAGAAGGAAAUAAAAACAUCAUUAUUUGUAAGCAGGGGAGGAGGGAGACCAAGAAAUAGAGAGAAAACUGAUCAUACCCCUCCUUCUUCAGCGCAGAUGUUCUGGUCUGAGACUGACCUGAGCCAAGAGAGGAGAGAAUUUGUAAUGAAUUCUGGAGUCCUAAUGUUAAACAGGACUAGACGCUUUACUACCUAAAAAAGAGGCUAUUGUUUAGCAGGGAAAGUGACUAAUCUAUAAGAGUUGCCAAAAAUGUCAGGAGCCAAGAGCAUUAAAAACACUAGAUGCUGUGAACAAAAAGGUCUGCUUUCUGAUUGCACCAUAAUAAGACAAGCUAAUUAAGUAUGCUGAUGAGAUGUUCACCCCCUGAUAUGAUAAAAGCAAGAGAGAGACAUGGAAGGGAGGCCAGGACCUGCUCUGCAACUUCCCUGCCCCAGUUCCCUCCAUCUCCUCCACACAGAGGAGCAGGAAACACAGGCAACUUCCCAACUCAAAGUAAACAAAGCCAAUACCUACCCUGCGUUCCUGGAAUUUACAAUCUAAGACAGCAUUGAUGUGAAGGGGCAUGUAAGGCUUAUGGACAACUAAACAAGCCUUUCCCAUUAAAACUGGAACCCAUUAAAGAAAAAGGAUUUGCUAUCUGCAGGGAAAGUAUUCUUUGGAAGGGCUUCCUGCUGAUUCUGAAUCUCAAAGUUGGUGAGUGAGAAGAGCAGGCUGAGCCCUCUUCACUGCUAUCUGAGGACCAACACCGUGCAACGGGCAGGAUGCUGAGUCCAGGAGGAAUGGGAAGUCCCCCAUUAGUGGGAGGACCAGGUCUGUAACAGACACACAGAUGUGCACACACACAAACACACAGUUAAACACACGAGGAAGUGUUAGAAGGUGCUGGAGGAGGGAGGAGUCAAGUGAGGCCCCAGGAGGUGGUACUGGAGGUGGUCUUGAAGGAUGAGCAGGGGCCCAGGAACAAGGGAGGAUCAAGACUUCCAGUGACAAAUAUCGAGGAGCAGAUGGAGACCAUGGGGAUUGGAGACUUGUGCAGGAAAGGGCGGGAAUUGCACCGGCUGGGAGCAGUUAACAGGGCAAUCAAAGGACCCUGGUUGGUUUCCUUUUCCAAGAAAAUAACUCAUAGCUUGACAGAGGCAGGAUUAGAAGAGGCCAGCCUAGAGUCUGCGGCCCACGUCUACAGAGAUUACAAGGGAGCUGAGCAAAUGGCAGCCUUUGGGGAGAGGAAGAGAUGUUGUCAUAGUGGUCUAGAUAGGACUUGCACACUGGGUACGAGGCCUGAGAGGCCAGUGAAGAUCUUUCUUUUGUGUCCCAAAGUGCUGAAUGAUGGCAGUGAUCCCCCAAAACUAAGUCAACACAAAAAUAAUUCUCCACCAUAAGUCACAUGCAAGGGAGUAUAUCAAAUUUAGCUUCCCAUGAUGAUUAUUUCAUUGCCUUUCAUGAACUAUCCAAAAUCAAAUUAUUUUUUAAAUUAUUUAAUAUAUUUAAUUUAAUAAUUAAUAUAAUUAUAUUUUAAAAAUUAUUUUGAGUUUUUGUGCCAUCCUUGUGCCUUCAACAUUGUAAGUGUGCUUAUGAUGCCCAUUUAAAAUUCAUUUAACAUCAUGUGUCAUCAGAGAACUGUAAAUUAAAACAAUGAGAUACCACUACACAUCUGUUAGAAUGACCAAAAUCCAGAGCGCUGACGACACCAAAUGCCAGUGAGGAUAUGGAGCAACAGGAACUUUCAUUCAUUGCUGGUGGGAAUGCAAACGAUCCAGCUACUUUGGCAGACAGUUUGUCAAUUUCUUAGAAAACUAAACAUACUCUUACCGUAUGAUCUAGCAAUCAUGCUCCUGGCUAUUUACCUAAAUGAGCUGCAAAGUUAAAUCCACACAAAAACCUGCACACAUAUAUUUAUAGCAUUCAUAACUGCCAAAAUCUAAAAGCAACCAAGGAGUCCUUCAGUAGGUGAAUGGAUAAAUAAGCUGCAGUACAAGCAGAAAAUCAAAUAUGAUGCGCUGAUGAAAUAAAUGAGUUAUCAAGCCAUGAAAGACAUAAAUGAAGCUUAAAUGAUUAUUGCUAAAUGAAAAAAGCCAAUCUGAAGAGGAUACAUGCUGUAUGAUUUCCUAGGAAAAAAAUCAGUGGUUGCCAGGAGUUAGUGGGGAGGGUGAGAUGAGUAAAGUGACAUGUAGAGGAAUUGUAGGGCCAUGAAACAGCUUUGUAUCUAUAUCUGUAUCUGUAUCAACUGUAUCUGUAUCUGUAACUGUCACUGUGUCUGUAUCUGUAACUGUCACUGUAUCUGUAUGUGUAUCUGCAACUGUAUAGUAUCUGUAUAUUUAAAACUGUAUCUGUAUUUGAAACUAUAUCUGUGACUGUAACUGUAUCUGUUACUGUAUCUGUAUCAGUAACUGUAUCUGUAACUGUAUGGGUACCUGUAUUUGUAUCUGUAUCUGUAUUUAAAACUGUAUCUAGGCCAG